rnacentral:tRNA from 1 species
GUCCCCGUAGCUCAGCUGGAUAGAGCGGCCCCCUCCUAAGGGGCAGGCCACUGGUUCGACUCCGGUCGGGGACACCA